rnacentral:rRNA from 1 species
CUACGGGGCGCUCCAGUGAGGAAUAUUGCACAAUGGGGGGAACCCUGAUGCAGCAACGCCGCGUGGAGGAUGACGCAUUUCGGUGUGUAAACUCCUUUUAUAUGUCAAGAAAAUGACGGAAGCAUAUGAAUAAGCACCGGCUAACUCCGUGCCAGCAGCCGCGGUAAUACGGAGGGUGCAAGCGUUACUCGGAAUCACUGGGCGUAAAGGACGCGUAGGCGGGUUGGAAAGUCAGGUGUGAAAUCCUACAGCUUAACUGUAGAACUGCACUUGAAACUUCUAAUCUAGAGUAUGGGAGGGGGAGAUGGAAUUAGUGGUGUAGGGGUAAGAUCCGUAGAUAUCACUAGGAAUACCUAAAGCGAAGGCGAUCUCCUGGAACAUUACUGACGCUAAGGCGUGAAAGCGUGGGGAGCAAACAGGAUUAGAUACCCCAGUAGUC